AGAACGAACGCUGGCGGCAUGCCUAAUACAUGCAAGUCGAACGAACACUUCGGUGUUAGUGGCGCACGGGUGCGUAACGCGUGGGAAUCUGCCCUUGGGUUCGGAAUAACAGUUGGAAACGACUGCUAAUACCGGAUGAUAUCGAAAGAUCAAAGAUUUAUCGCCCAGGGAUGAGCCCGCGUAGGAUUAGCUAGUUGGUGAGGUAAAGGCUCACCAAGGCGACGAUCCUUAGCUGGUCUGAGAGGAUGAUCAGCCACACUGGGACUGAGACACGGCCCAGACUCCUACGGAGGCAGCAGUGGGGAAUAUUGGACAAUGGGCGCAAGCCUGAUCAGCCACGCCGCGUGUGUGAAGAAGGCCUUCGGUUGUAAACCUCUUUCAGCACGACGAAGUUUGUCGUUUUUGGU
rnacentral:rRNA from 1 species